rnacentral:rRNA from 1 species
CCCCAGUAACGGCGAGUGAAGCGGCAACAGCUCAAAUUUGAAAUCUGGCCCCCCGCGGGCCCGAGUUGUACUUUGGAGAGGACGCUUCUGGCGCGGCGCCGUCCGAGUUCCCUGGAACGGGACGCCGGAGAGGGUGAGAGCCCCGUACGGGCGGCCGCCUAGCCUCUGCGAAGCUCCUUCGACGAGUCGAGUAGUUUGGGAAUGCUGCUCAAAAUGGGAGGUAAAUUUCUUCUAAAGCUAAAUACCGGCCAGAGACCGAUAGCGCACAAGUAGAGUGAUCGAAAGAUGAAAAGCACUUUGAAAAGAGGGUCAAACAGUACGUGAAAUUGUUGAAAGGGAAGCGCCUGUGGCCAGACUUGCGCCCCGCGGACCACCCGGCGCCUCGCGCGCCGGGGCACGCCAGCGGGGCGCAGGCCAGCAUCGGCUCUCUCGGGGGGACAAAGGCCGCGGGAACGUAGCGCCCUCGCGGCGUAUUAUAGCCCGCGGCGCCAUGCCCCCGGGGGGGCCGAGGACCGCGCUCCGGCAAGGAUGCUGGCGUAAUGGCCACCGGCGACCCGUCUUGAAACACGGACCAAGGAGUCAAGCAUUGGGGCGAGUGUCUGGGUGGCAAGCCCGCACGCGGAAUGAAAGUGAACGCAGGUGGGAGCUUCGGCGCACCACCGACCGAUCCUGAUGUCCUCGGAUGGAUUUGAGUAGGAGCCCCGCCGCUUGGACCCGAAAGAUGGUGAACUAUGCCUGUAUAGGGUGAAGCCAGAGGAAACUCUGGUGGAGGCCCGCAGCGGUUCUGACGUGCAAAUCGAUCGUCAAAUAUGGGCAUG